rnacentral:rRNA from 1 species
UCGCGGUAAUACGUAGAAGACUAGUGUUAUUCAUCUUUAAUAGGUUUAAAGGGUACCUAGACGGUAAAUCAAGCCUUCAAGGGACUAAUUUACUAGAGUUACUUGGGAGGGGGUAUUAAAGUACUGCUGGUGUAGAGAUGAAAUUCUGUCAUACCUUUCUGUAUUAGAAUAAUGGCACAGGUAUAGGCGAAAGCAUCCCCUUAUGUGAUAACUGACGUUGAAGGACGAAGGCUUUGUGUCGCGAACAGGAUUAGAUACCCCAGUAGUCAAAGCAGAAAAUGAUGAGUGUCAUAGAUUAGACAUAUAAUAGUUUAUUCUAUAAAUGAAAGUGUAAGCAUUCCACCUCAAGAGUAAUUUGGCAACAUUGGAACUGAAAUCAUUAGACCGUUUCUGAAACCAGUAGUGAAGUAUGUUGUUUAAUUUGAUAAUCCGCAAAAAACCUUACCACAAUUUGAAUAUUUAUGUAUUUUUUAUAUUUCUCAUUUUUUUUUAUCACUUUUUCUUAUCUCUUACACGAAAAAAUAAAAAAAAAACAGUAAGUUAAGAAAACAUAUUUACAAGCGUUGCACGGCUGUCUUCAGUUAAUGUCGUGAGAUUUUGGUUAGCUCCAUUAAAUUAACGUAAACCCUUACUUUAUUUUUAUAUAAAGUAGUUCUCCGCUAGAUUGGAUAAGAUAACAGGGACUAAGACAAGUCAUC